AUUGAACGCUGGCGGCAGGCCUAACACAUGCAAGUCGAGCGGAUGAAGGGAGCUUGCUCCUGGAUUCAGCGGCGGACGGGUGAGUAAUGCCUAGGAAUCUGCCUGGUAGUGGGGGAUAACGUCCGGAAACGGGCGCUAAUACCGCAUACGUCCUGAGGUCGAAAGUGGGGGAUCUUCGGACCUCACGCUAUCAGAUGAGCCUAGGUCGGAUUAGCUAGUUGGUGGGGUAACGGCCUACCAAGGCGACGCUCCGUAACUGGUCUGAGAGGAUGAUCCGUCACAAGGGAAAGGAGACAAGGGGCAGAAGCCGAAGGGAGGCAGGAGGGGGGAAUAUGGGAGAAGGGGCGAAAGCGUGAGCCAGCCAGGCGGCGGGGGUGAAGAAGGGCUGCGGAUGGUAAAGCAAUUUAAGUUGGGAGGAAGGGAAGUAAGUUAAGACCGGGCUGUUUGGAAGUGACCAAAAGAAGAAGCACCGGAGAACUGAGG
rnacentral:rRNA from 1 species